rnacentral:rRNA from 1 species
GAUGAACGCUGGCGGCGUGCCUAAUACAUGCAAGUCGAGCGAACGGACGAGAAGCUUGCUACUCUGAUGUUAGCGGCGGACGGGUGAGUAACACGUGGAUAACCUACCUAUAAGACUGGGAUAACUUCGGGAAACCGGAGCUAAUACCGGAUGAUAUUUUGAACCGCAUGGUUCAAAAGUGAAAGACGGUCUUGCUGUCACUUAUAGAUGGAUCCGCGCUGCAUUAGCUAGUUGGUAAGGUAACGGCUUACCAAGGCAACGAUGCAUAGCCGACCUGAGAGGGUGAUCGGCCACACUGGAACUGAGACACGGUCCAGACUCCUACGGGAGGCAGCAGUAGGGAAUCUUCCGCAAUGGGCGAAAGCCUGACGGAGCAACGCCGCGUGAGUGAUGAAGGUCUUCGGAUCGUAAAACUCUGUUAUUAGGGAAGAACAUAUGUGUAAGUAACUGUGCACAUCUUGACGGUACCUAAUCAGAAAGCCACGGCUAACUACGUG